CAGUUCGGAUUGUAGUCUGCAACUCGACUACAUGAAGCUGGAAUCGCUAGUAAUCGCGAAUCAGCAUGUCGCGGUGAAUACGUUCCCGGGUCUUGUACACACCGCCCGUCACACCAUGGGAGUCGGUAACGCCCGAAGUCAGUGACCCAACCGGAAGGAGGGAGCUGCCGAAGGCGGGACUGGUAACUGGGGUGAAGUCGUAACAAGGUAGC
rnacentral:rRNA from 1 species